GGCGGCAUAGCUCAGCUGGCUAGAGCAUUCGGUUCAUACCCGACAGGUCAUUGGUUCAAAUCCGAUUGCCGCUACCA
rnacentral:tRNA from 1 species